rnacentral:rRNA from 1 species
AUACGGAGGGAGCGAGCGUUAAUCGGAGUUACUGGGCGUAAAGCGCGCGUAGGCGGCUUUGUAAGUCGGAUGUGAAAGCCCUGGGCUUAACCUGGGAAUGGCAUUCGAUACUGCAGAGCUAGAGUAUGGUAGAGGGAAGUGGAAUUUCCGGUGUAGCGGUGAAAUGCGUAGAUAUCGGAAGGAACACCAGUGGCGAAGGCGACUUCCUGGGCCAAUACUGACGCUGAGGUGCGAAAGCGUGGGGAGCAAACAGGAUUAGAAACCCGAGUAGUCC